CACAAUGUCGGGGUCGAAAAUUUAUCUUCUGUUUCACAUCAUAAAAUAAACAACGGCCAGUUGGCAGCGCGCGAGUCGACGGGCAUACCAGCCGAAGGAAACGUGACAUAGCUAACGUUAUUUGCAUCCGCUAUCUUCGCUACUACGAAAUGUCGCUGUUCGAACGGAAGAUGGUUCCUUGUCUCUGGUAAAAUCCAACCUUCCGCAUCUUCUUCAAACAAUCGAAUCAGCCGGAACAAACAUGAGGUCUCCGAGUUUAUGCUAUAGUUUCCAUAGAAACAAUCGUGGAGAGAGGGCGAGAUAAAGCUGGCGUUCCUUAAUCGGUCCACGGAAAGUACGUGCAGACUCGUCGGUUUAAAAAACGCUACUAGGGUAUCAAAGACUGUAUUCCACUGGUCAAUAACGAAACUGUGCAUCCGUCUUAAUCGCAAUCAACGAUUUCAGCCCGAUGCAGCGCGAACUGCACGAAACUUCGCAGUUGCGAUCGACGAGACCGUGCUGCCCGCAAAACCGAUCGCGCAAAAUAUUUUUCUUGCCUCUUAAAAUCUCUGCAAAACAACAUUCGGCCAGACGGGGCUUGUUUACAAGCGGCGAACUGCAAUGCAGCGGGAAGCUGAAUAAAUAAAAACAUGUUUGUCCAAUGUUUUACACGAGGCUGUACGCGCCGAUUCUCGAAACCAAUUUGCAGCAUCGAGAUUUCUCGCUGAAUUUAAUUUCAUGACCGAUCAUUCUCCGAUGACUUCGAUGUAAAAUCUGUACCUAUCGGAGGAAAAACAUUGCAAGGCGCUCAGAGAAGUAUCGAAGCGAGGAUUUUUUAUAUUGCUUUUGCAUUAACCAGUUAUCCGGUUUCGACGAAUGUAUUCGCCACGAAGUGAUGGUAACAUUUUCUGUUAGAAACAGCUAACUGGUUAAAUUGAGCAGAUAAAAUUAAGUUAGCAAGAUAAAAUUGAAAAACAAAAUAGUCGUUCCAUAACAAUUUAAUUCUAUAUUAUAACAGAUACAUUUACACUUUUCAGAGAGAUUGCAAUAGCUAACCGUUGUUAAUUACAUAAUUAUGUAGAGAGUAGGACCAAUUUUCUCAAUUUUUAAACCCAGACGUUUUCGAUUUAAACAAACGCAAUGAAUAUCAGACAAACAAUUCAUCACCCAUUAGCUGUACUCUUAGUUUGCUAUUUUCUUUUUAAAAUUCAUUUUCAUAUAUCCUCGACACUUUUAAAUACAGUUAUUACAUUUUAAGCGUUUACUGACAGCUAAAUGUUUAAAUUAAAAAAAAGUACCAGUAAGUUAGUGCUAAGUUAUGCAUCUCAACAAAAUGUCGAGUUCUAUAUUUAUAAAUUUUCACUGAGAUUGCAAAGAUGCAGCCAAGAGGAAUCAUUCAAUUUUAUUUCUGUGAACAAAUACAUUCUUUUGGCAUCUGUAAAAUAAUGUAAAUUAGCCACUUUUACUAGUCCACAGGUGUAAUGCUAUUAUAACUAUUUCCAAAUGAAGUCUUGAAAGUUUUUUAAAAUACAUUCACUUGCAGUAGGUAGAAAAAAGUUUUCGUACAAAUGGGCCAAACGAUCUGAAUCUAAAAGGAUUAUCUUCCAAAAUUGCAAUUCGUUGGUACGAUGAAAAGAUUAAAAACAUGAUGAUUCUUCAA